rnacentral:rRNA from 1 species
GAUGAACGCUGGCGGCGUGCCUAAUACAUGCAAGUCGAGCGAACGGACGAGAAGCUUGCUUCUCUGAUGUUAGCGGCGGACGGGUGAGUAACACGUGGAUAACCUACCUAUAAGACUGGGAUAACUUCGGGAAACCGGAGCUAAUACCGGAUGAUAUUUUGAACCGCAUGGUUCAAAAGUGAAAGACGGUCUUGCUGUCACUUAUAGAUGGAUCCGCUCUGCAUUAGCUAGUUGGUAAGGUAACGGCUUACCAAGGCAACGAUGCAUAGCCGACCUGAGAGGGUGAUCGGCCACACUGGAACUGAGACACGGCCCAGACUCCUACGGGAGGCAGCAGUAGGGAAUCUUCCGCAAUGGGCGAAAGCCUGACGGAGCAACGCCGCGUGAGUGAUGAAGGUCUUCGGAUCGUAAAACUCUGUUAUUAGGGAAGAACAUAUGUGUAAGUAACUGUGCACAUCUUGACGGUACCUAAUCAGAAAGCCACGGCUAACUACGUG